GCACAGCAGGAGGAGGAGGCACAGCAGGAGGAGGAGGCCAGAAAUCAAGCCCCUGUGAUUGGCUCCUUCGUUGAAGUAGUGCACAGCACACAAAGAGGGGCAUCAAAAACUUUCAAGUGCCUCGUAGUGGCCUCUGACUUGACAAGAAGAGAAGGAGACAUUGGAGUCCAGUACUUCAAAGAACACAGAUCACACUAUACACUUGACACAGACAACACUUACAUUAUAAAUAUUCUAGACUCCAAUGUCACCUCAAUAUCAUUAUUAACACCUCCAGACAUCACAGCAAGAGGACAUUAUUUAUUUUAAUUUGAUUUUUUUCACUGUUUUUUAUCAUUUGUAUAGAGCCUGUAAAUAAAAUGCUAUGUUACUGUAGCCUACUUGUUUCUUGUGUGGAAGGGUGGGGUUGGGAGACGGGUCAAGAGUAUUGUUUAUUUCCUUAUUUACCCACAAAUGCAGCUUCUCAGUACUCAAAAGUAUUCAAUCUAACUCUCACAACAGUUAUAAAUAGAUACACACAGUUAUAAAUAGAUACACACAGUUAUAAAUAGAUACACACAAAACAUUAAGAAAUACAGGGAGGUGAAAAACAAACAUUUUGAACGUGUUUCGCAAAAGGAGAUAAUCACAUUUAUUUUUUACACAAGGGACAUAACCCAUAUUUUUUUCCCUUUAAGCAAAUAAUUCAGAUAAAAGGGCUACAGUUGUUGUUUGCAUCUGCCAUGGUCUUUUUAUAUAUUGAGGUAUGUAUUAUUCUUGUUUAUGGCUGGUUUUUUGAAUUUCAUAUCCACAAUUGUAUUUAUGUAUGCUAUGCCAUUUCUCAAAUAUUACACUGCUUGACACCAUAACGGAAUCGAA